UUGAUCACAGCGCCAUGCCGUAUUGCGGUCAUGGCGUGCGGAUUGAAUAAAAAAUAGGUUACCAACCUUAUCAUACUUUAUUUGUUGACAAUUGUGUAACCUUUUAUGUUUCCAUAGUAUAUAUCGUAUUAAAGCAGUUUAUAUAAAUAUCAUUAUAUAUAUAUAUAUAACCUAUGAAACAAAAUCUACAGGAUCUUUGUCAGUGUAAGAUCUUGGAGUGUACCAGUUUUUUUUCUUCAGAUACCAGCUUUUAGUGACAUCUGUACCAGGAAGGAGUAUCUCGGGAGCAGUGCGGAGCCAGCCAGCAUGAGGAACGUAGAGCAGAAAGAUGUUGACGUGGUCCGCGACGAAGCCGUGGAGCAGGAGCAAGAUGGGGAAGACGAAGAACUGGCGGGGAUCAAGCAGCCGCCCCCCACCACAAUCCAGAGCUUAUUCGUGUUCAGGGCAAGUGAGUUUCAAAGAUAGGUAGCCGUACAUGAGGGAACUACUUAACAGUGUAAAAUAAGGUUGAGUGGAAGCUCUACGCUCACAGAUUAAUACAUACAGUAGACUGCUGAUAACCCUGGGUAAUGACUAAUGACUGGCAAGGACUUUUUAUUCCAAUUUUUUUAUCCAGACUAUCGAGACAAAUACUGUAACAACCCAAAUUAGUUCCAGUAAAACAGUGCACUAAUCAAAACAUCGCUAGUCACAAACUUUUUUUUUCCCAAAAAAGAGUAUUUUAAAUCAAGGCACUAGCUCCCGUUAAAAUUAAUUUAUCAUACUAAUAUGUAUCUAAAUUCAUUUAAAUAAAUGUUGAAUAACAUUUAGAGACUAGACAACCUAAAAUUAAAUAAUUUAUUGCGUUGUUUACAUAAUGGGGCUUGGGCAUAACAUUGAUAUAGGAGAUAUAUUUCAGUUCUAAUAAGAAUUUAAAAAACAAACUUUUUCUUUUAUUAGAAAGAUUAUUUAACCUGUUAAUGUAAAUUCUGAAUCUGUUGUUUACUAAAUGCAUGCCUGCCUGCCUGCCAUGCGUAUCCUGGUGGCACAAGGUAAACUAGCCAUGAAAGCUUCUGAAUUCCUCUACAGAGCUACUGUUGAUGUGCAGGUUGACGGAAUGUAAACAUUUGUGGAGCACUUGUGUCGUCGAGAAAAAAUUACGCAAUGAAGGAAGCAAAUAGCUAUUGAGAAAAAGCAAAAUAUUGUUUGUUGAUUAGUCACAUUAUUAAUUUGUUGCAUUGUAUUUACGCUACGACAUGACAUUGCCAUUGUGUGUGCAUGGAAAUAAAAAGUCAAAAAUUA